rnacentral:miRNA from 1 species
AUACUCUCAAGAUUUUGCACAUG